CCUAUGGGGGGCAGCAGGCGCGAAACCUCCGCAAUGCACGCAAGUGCGACGGGGGAACCCCAAGUGCCACUCUUAACGGGGUGGCUUUUCAGAAGUGUAAAAAGCUUCUGGAAUAAGGGCUGGGCAAGACCGGUGCCAGCCGCCGCGGUAACACCGGCAGCUCAAGUGGUAGCCGCUUUUAUUGGGCCUAAAGCGUCCGUAGCCGGUCUGAUAAGUCUCUGGUGAAAUCCCACAGCUUAACUGUGGGAAUUGCUGGAGAUACUAUCAUGACUCGAGGUCGGGAGAGGCUGGAGGUACUCCCAGGGUAGGGGUGAAAUCCUGUAAUCCUGGGAGGACCACCUGUGGCGAAGGCGUCCAGCUGGAACGAACCUGACGGUGAGGGACGAAAGCCAGGGGCGCGAACCGGAUUAGAUACCCCAGUAGUCC
rnacentral:rRNA from 1 species